UAAGCGACUAAGCGUACACGGUGGAUGCCCUGGCAGUCAGAGGCGAUGAAGGACGUGCUAAUCUGCGAUAAGCGUCGGUAAGGUGAUAUGAACCGUUAUAACCGGCGAUUUCCGAAUGGGGAAACCCAGUGUGAUUCGUCACACUAUCAUUAACUGAAUCCAUAGGUUAAUGAGGCGAACCGGGGGAACUGAAACAUCUAAGUACCCCGAGGAAAAGAAAUCAACCGAGAUUCCCCCAGUAGCGGCGAGCGAACGGGGAGCAGCCCAGAGCCUGAAUCAGUGUGUGUGUUAGUGGAAGCGUCUGGAAAGGCGUGCGAUACAGGGUGACAGCCCCGUACACAAAAAUGCACAUAUUGUGAGCUCGAUGAGUAGGGCGGGACACGUGGUAUCCUGUCUGAAUAUGGGGGGACCAUCCUCCAAGGCUAAAUACUCCUGACUGACCGAUAGUGAACCAGUACCGUGAGGGAAAGGCGAAAAGAACCCCGGCGAGGGGAGUGAAAAAGAACCUGAAACCGUGUACGUACAAGCAGUGGGAGCACGCUUAGGCGUGUGACUGCGUACCUUUUGUAUAAUGGGUCAGCGACUUAUAUUCUGUAGCAAGGUUAACCGAAUAGGGGAGCCGAAGGGAAACCGAGUCUUAACUGGGCGUUAAGUUGCAGGGUAUAGACCCGAAACCCGGUGAUCUAGCCAUGGGCAGGUUGAAGGUUGGGUAACACUAACUGGAGGACCGAACCGACUAAUGUUGAAAAAUUAGCGGAUGACUUGUGGCUGGGGGUGAAAGGCCAAUCAAACCGGGAGAUAGCUGGUUCUCCCCGAAAGCUAUUUAGGUAGCGCCUCGUGAAUUCAUCUCCGGGGGUAGAGCACUGUUUCGGCAAGGGGGUCAUCCCGACUUACCAACCCGAUGCAAACUGCGAAUACCGGAGAAUGUUAUCACGGGAGACACACGGCGGGUGCUAACGUCCGUCGUGAAGAGGGAAACAACCCAGACCGCCAGCUAAGGUCCCAAAGUCAUGGUUAAGUGGGAAACGAUGUGGGAAGGCCCAGACAGCCAGGAUGUUGGCUUAGAAGCAGCCAUCAUUUAAAGAAAGCGUAAUAGCUCACUGGUCGAGUCGGCCUGCGCGGAAGAUGUAACGGGGCUAAACCAUGCACCGAAGCUGCGGCAGCGACGCUGAUGCGUUGUUGGGUAGGGGAGCGUUCUGUAAGCCUGCGAAGGUGUGCUGUGAGGCAUGCUGGAGGUAUCAGAAGUGCGAAUGCUGACAUAAGUAACGAUAAAGCGGGUGAAAAGCCCGCUCGCCGGAAGACCAAGGGUUCCUGUCCAACGUUAAUCGGGGCAGGGUGAGUCGACCCCUAAGGCGAGGCCGAAAGGCGUAGUCGAUGGGAAACAGGUUAAUAUUCCUGUACUUGGUGUUACUGCGAAGGGGGGACGGAGAAGGCUAUGUUGGCCGGGCGACGGUUGUCCCGGUUUAAGCGUGUAGGCUGGUUUUCCAGGCAAAUCCGGAAAAUCAAGGCUGAGGCGUGAUGACGAGGCACUACGGUGCUGAAGCAACAAAUGCCCUGCUUCCAGGAAAAGCCUCUAAGCAUCAGGUAACAUCAAAUCGUACCCCAAACCGACACAGGUGGUCAGGUAGAGAAUACCAAGGCGCUUGAGAGAACUCGGGUGAAGGAACUAGGCAAAAUGGUGCCGUAACUUCGGGAGAAGGCACGCUGAUAUGUAGGUGAAGUCCCUCGCGGAUGGAGCUGAAAUCAGUCGAAGAUACCAGCUGGCUGCAACUGUUUAUUAAAAACACAGCACUGUGCAAACACGAAAGUGGACGUAUACGGUGUGACGCCUGCCCGGUGCCGGAAGGUUAAUUGAUGGGGUCAGCGCAAGCGAAGCUCUUGAUCGAAGCCCCGGUAAACGGCGGCCGUAACUAUAACGGUCCUAAGGUAGCGAAAUUCCUUGUCGGGUAAGUUCCGACCUGCACGAAUGGCGUAAUGAUGGCCAGGCUGUCUCCACCCGAGACUCAGUGAAAUUGAACUCGCUGUGAAGAUGCAGUGUACCCGCGGCAAGACGGAAAGACCCCGUGAACCUUUACUAUAGCUUGACACUGAACAUUGAGCCUUGAUGUGUAGGAUAGGUGGGAGGCUUUGAAGUGUGGACGCCAGUCUGCAUGGAGCCGACCUUGAAAUACCACCCUUUAAUGUUUGAUGUUCUAACGUGGACCCGUAAUCCGGGUUGCGGACAGUGUCUGGUGGGUAGUUUGACUGGGGCGGUCUCCUCCUAAAGAGUAACGGAGGAGCACGAAGGUUGGCUAAUCCUGGUCGGACAUCAGGAGGUUAGUGCAAUGGCAUAAGCCAGCUUGACUGCGAGCGUGACGGCGCGAGCAGGUGCGAAAGCAGGUCAUAGUGAUCCGGUGGUUCUGAAUGGAAGGGCCAUCGCUCAACGGAUAAAAGGUACUCCGGGGAUAACAGGCUGAUACCGCCCAAGAGUUCAUAUCGACGGCGGUGUUUGGCACCUCGAUGUCGGCUCAUCACAUCCUGGGGCUGAAGUAGGUCCCAAGGGUAUGGCUGUUCGCCAUUUAAAGUGGUACGCGAGCUGGGUUUAGAACGUCGUGAGACAGUUCGGUCCCUAUCUGCCGUGGGCGCUGGAGAAUGAGGGGGGCUGCUCCUAGUACGAGAGGACCGGAGUGGACGCAUCACUGGUGUUCGGGUUGUCAUGCCAAUGGCACUGCCCGGUAGCUAAAUGCGGAAGAGAUAAGUGCUGAAAGCAUCUAAGCACGAAACUUGCCCCGAGAUGAGUUCUCCCUGACUCCUUGAGAGUCCUGAAGGAACGUUGAAGACGACGACGUUGAUAGGCCGGGUGUGUAAGCGCAGCGAUGCGUUGAGCUAACCGGUACUAAUGAACCGUGAGGCUUAACCU
rnacentral:rRNA from 1 species